UGCCAGCCGCCGCGGUAAUACGUAGGGUGCGAGCGUUGAUCGGAAUUACUGGGCGUAAAGCGUGCGCAGGCGGUUUGCUAAGACAGUUGUGAAAUCCCCGGGCUCAGCCUGGGAACUGCAAUUGUGACUGGUAGACUAGAGUUUGGCAGAGGGGGGUGGAAUUCCUGGUGUAGCAGUGAAAUGCGUAGAUAUCAGGAGGAGCACCGAUGGCGAAGGCAGCCCCCUGGGCCACGACUGACGCUCAUGUACGAAAGCGCGGGGAGCAAACAGGAUUAGAUA
rnacentral:rRNA from 1 species